rnacentral:lncRNA from 14 species
CAGCCCUUGGGGAAGCCCAGCACUCCUCAGAGCCUGCUGCAGCAAGACCUGCUGCUGAGGUCCCGAAAUUCAGGAAGUUCCACCAGCAGUAAGCACAGAGUUCUGAACUGAGCUGCCUUAUUUCUAACAGUAAAAAUGAGGAUGAGGAAGGCAAAGGUUCAGCCAUAAAUGCCAAAACCACGGACUUGAGCUCAUGGGAACUACAGAAGAAUUGGCUCAGUUUCCACUUCCUACAAGUGUGCCUAGAUGGGAUGCUGGGAGAAGAAAAGGACAUAUCAGAGGAAAAACUGGAUCUGUGCUAGCUCCCUUCAAGAGCUUGCUUUGUUGGUUUGGAGCAGCUUUUUGGAGUUGUGAAAGCUGUUCCACUUGAAGAGCAAAUGUCUGGAAUGUCUCAGGACUACAUUUUGCUGCAGCAACCCCUGUCACACUGCAAGUGUGUUGUGUGGAGCCCAUGCCACUGCUCUUCCAUGCUGUCUCUGGACACAGAGAAUGAUUGUUUGCACAUUUCAUUGAGAUCGCAUGGAGAUAUGACAACUCAAGCUGCCACUGGGACCUGAAGUUUUCACAGAGAAGGUCCUACCACAGGCAGCUGCUCUCCAGACACACUUCUGAUGCCAGCUAUGACUGUGUGGGUUUAAGGACCAGCAGCUUCUUCCUAUACAAAGCCUUGUAAAUGAGAACAAACCGUCAAAGCUGUGUGUGGAGCACCAGUACUAUGUGUAGAACUGGGCAAGAUUUCCUGUUAUACAGGCAUUUUCCCACUGCACGAGGAAGAACCACAACACUCAAAACAGUUUUCCUAGAGGGGGGGAAACGUGAAAGUGAGAUCCUGCUAUCCUGAAACUGCUGAUCAGGGCGUUUACCUCAGUCACCAAACAUCUGCAUUCAAAUCCUUUCUUUGCCUCUCUCACACCACAGAUGGGAAUGUGGGUUUCCCACAUCCCGAGCUUGUGGUUUUAC